UUGAACGCUGGCGGCAUGCCUUACACAUGCAAGUCGAACGGCAGCAUGGAAGAGCUUGCUCUUCUGGAUGGCGAGUGGCGAACGGGUGAGUAAAGCAUCGGAACGUACCGUGUAGUGGGGGAUAACGUAGCGAAAGUUACGCUAAUACCGCAUACGCACUGAGGUGGAAAGCAGGGGAUCGCAAGAUCUUGCGCUAUACGAGCGGCCGAUGUCAGAUUAGCUAGUUGGUAGGGUAAAGGCCUACCAAGGCGACGAUCUGUAGCGGGUCUGAGAGGAUGAUCCGCCACACUGGGACUGAGACACGGCCCAGACUCCUACGGGAGGCAGCAGUGGGGAAUUUUGGACAAUGGGCGAAAGCCUGAUCCAGCCAUGCCGCGUGAGUGAAGAAGGCCUUCGGGUUGUAAAGCUCUUUCGGCUGGGAAGAAAUCGCACAGGCUAAUACUCUGUGUGGAUGACGGUACCAGCACAAGAAGCACCGGCUAACUACGUG
rnacentral:rRNA from 1 species